rnacentral:rRNA from 1 species
AUGGCAUCCGGAGCGUGCGGCCACUUCGGCCUCGCGGCGCCUCGCCGCCACGCGCUCCUCCUCCCGGCGCCGGCCGCUCCCCCCUGCCUCUCGCAGCGCGCCGCCCGCCGGAGGAACACCGCUCGGCUCGCCUGCGCGGGCGCCUCCGGCCUGGAAUUCAGUCACCCUCCUCCUCCCCGCCACUACUGGACUGCUGGCGUGGGGGCUCAAGUUGUCUCGUCUUGCCUUGUAAGAUGCAGGUUGUUGUCAUGGUUGAAGCCAAUAAGGUAUGAUGUCAGAGUGCAAACAUCCAGUGUAGACCUUGGAGCUGGGAGCUAUGAAGGAGAUGAAGCAGGUGGCCAUAGGGAACAGCUGGAUAGUUCUGAUACCAAAAGUUCAAAUGAACCAGCAAAACCAGUUUCAGGAUCGCGUUACAUGCAAGCUAUUGCUGCCGUGCUACUUCUGUGCGCCCUGGCAUCUGCUUUUAUCAUUUUCUUUAAAGGACAGCCGUCUGCAGUUGUAGCUGCACUAGCAAAGUCAGGUUUCACGGCAGCAUUUACACUGAUUUUUGUAUCUGAGAUUGGGGAUAAGACAUUUUUCAUUGCUGCACUACUUGCGAUGCAAUAUCAAAAGGCAUUGGUUUUACUUGGGUCAAUGGCUGCUCUUUCCCUGAUGACUAUUGUGAGUGUCGUGAUUGGACGGAUCUUUCAGUCUGUACCAGCACAAUUUCAAACAACGUUACCCAUAGGAGAAUAUGCAGCAGUUGCGCUCCUUGCAUUCUUUGGAUUCAAAUCAAUUAAAGAUGCAUGGGCACUCCCAGAUAAAGUAAAUGGGGAUCUUGAAGAAAACUCUGAAUCUGGCGAACUGGCUGAAGCUGAGGAGCUUGUUAAGGAAAAGGCUUCACUGAAAAUCACCAGUCCUCUUGCAAUUCUCUGGAAAUCCUUCAGUCUUGUUUUCUUUGCGGAGUGGGGGGAUCGCUCUAUGCUGGCUACAAUUGCUUUGGGUGCCGCACAGUCUCCUUUGGGCGUUGCUAGUGGGGCCAUAGCUGGACACUUGGUUGCAACUUUGCUUGCGAUCAUCGGGGGAGCAUUCCUAGCCAACUACCUAUCCGAGAAGCUGGUUGGCCUGCUGGGAGGAGUACUGUUUUUGUUAUUCGCCGCCGCCACGCUUUUCGGCGUGUUCUGA